GAUGAACGCUAGCGGCAGGCCUAAUACAUGCAAGUCGAACGGUGUCUUCGGACGUAGUGGCGCACGGGUGCGUAACACGUAUGCAACCUACCUUACAUUGGGGGAUAGCCUUUCGAAAGGGAGAUUAAUACCGCAUAAGACAGCAGCUGGGCAUCCAGCAGCUGUUAAAGAUUUAUCGAUGUAAGCUGGGCAUGCGUCCAAUUAGCUAGUUGGUGAGGUAACGGCUCACCAAGGCAAUGAUUGGUAGGGGAACUGAGAGGUCAAUCCCCCACACUGGCACUGAGAUACGGGCCAGACUCCUACGGGAGGCAGCAGUAGGGAAUAUUGGGCAAUGGACGCAAGUCUGACCCAGCCAUGCCGCGUGCAGGAUGAAGGCGUUAUGCGUUGUAAACUGCUUUUAUACAGGAAGAAACGACUCUUGCGAGAGGCAUUGACGGUACUGUAUGAAUAAGCACCGGCUAACUCCGUGCCAGCCGCCGCGGUAAAAC
rnacentral:rRNA from 1 species